CAUGCAGUCGAGCGGUAAGGCCUUUCGGGGUACACGAGCGGCGAACGGGUGAGUAACACGUGGGUGAUCUGCCCUGCACUUCGGGAUAAGCCUGGGAAACUGGGUCUAAUACCGGAUAUGACUUCCUGUUGCAUGGCUUGGGGUGGAAAGAUUUAUCGGUGCAGGAUGGGCCCGCGGCCUAUCAGCUUGUUGGUGGGGUAAUGGCCUACCAAGGCGACGACGGGUAGCCGACCUGAGAGGGUGACCGGCCACACUGGGACUGAGACACGGCCCAGACUCCUACGGGAGGCAGCAGUGGGGAAUAUUGCACAAUGGGCGAAAGCCUGAUGCAGCGACGCCGCGUGAGGGAUGACGGCCUUCGGGUUGUAAACCUCUUUCAGCAGGGACGAAGCGCAAGUGACGGUACCUGCAGAAGAAGCACCGGCUAACUACGUGCCAGCAGCCGGCGGU
rnacentral:rRNA from 1 species